rnacentral:rRNA from 1 species
CUCGUAGGCGGCCAACUAAGUCAUACGUGAAAUCCCUCGGCUUAACCGGGAAACUGCGUCUGAUACUGGAUGGCUUGAGUUCGGGAGAGGGAUGCGGAAUUCCAGGUGUAGCGGUGAAAUGCGUAGAUAUCUGGAGGAACACCGGUGGCGAAGGCGGCAUCCUGGACCGAUACUGACGCUGAGGAGCGAAAGCCAGGGGAGCAAACG